GAUGAACGCUGGCGGCGUGCCUAAUACAUGCAAGUCGAGCGAACAGACGAGGAGUUUGCGCCUUUGACGUGAGCGGCGGACGGGUGAGUAACACGUGGAUAACCUACCUAUAUGACGGGGAUAAUUUCGGAAAACCGGAGCAAAUACCGGAUAAUAUAUUGAACCGUAUGGUUCAUUGGUAAAAGACGGUUUUGCUGUAACGUAUAGAUGGUUCCGCGCCGCAUUAGGUAGUUGGUAAGUUAAAGGGUUACCAAGGCGACGAUGCGUAGCCGACCUGAGAGGGUGAUCGGCCACACUGGAACUGGAACACGGUCAAGAGUCCUGCGGGAGGCAGCAGUAGGGAAUCUUCCGCAGUGGGCGAAAACCUGACGGAGCAACGCCGCGUGAGUGAUGAAGGUCUUCGGAUCGUGAAACUCUGUUAUUAGGGGAGAACAAAUGUGUAAGUAACUAUGCCCGGCUUGACGGUACCUAAUAAGAAAGCAACGGCUAACUACGUG
rnacentral:rRNA from 1 species